UUGAAGGCGGGUGGCUGGACAGCGCCGGCGGAGAAUCUCGCCGGCGGCGCCGACAGCUGACGAUUCCAUUCUUCCUCCCGGUGGGGACAAGGGGAAGAUUUCCGGUGAUCCCUUCCUCUCCCCGGAGGGGCAGAGCAGAAGAGUCCUCUUUGCCGGACUGAGGAGAGAAAUGCCUGCUCGUUGCGGCGGGACCGCCUUUCUUUGUCUCCUUGCUCCUCCUCCUCCUCCUCCUCCUCCUCCUCCUCCCGUUUUCCGGGCGUCGGUAGGAGGACGGAGGAGAGAAAGGCGGCGCCGACGAAUCCUAUCCCUGGCGUGCUCCCGUCCUGCCCUCUCCACCGCCUACGGGAAGGGCCAGGAAUUCCGAUUCCGUUACGCCGCCGUUACAAUCGCCGCAGCUCCCCCUCUUAAAGCGGGAAUGUCGCAGGAGAAUGUGGUGGAGGAGGGAGGAAGGAGGAGGAGGAGCACGGCGGCGGUGGUGAGCGAUGGGGAGCUACAGGAUGUGCCUGUGCUUCACCCGCAGGUUCCAGUGGAAGGAGGCGCAGCCGCCGCGGGAUGUGCAGGAAGCCUUCGCGGCCUACGCCGAGGGCCACCCUCACAUGAACGCCGAGCAGCUCCGCCGCUUCCUCGUCGACGUCCAGGGCGACUCCCGCGCCACCGUCGCCGAUGCCGAGUCGCUCAUCGAGCAAUUUCGGCGUCUGAAGCAUCGAUACCUCGCCAAGUUCACCGGUUCCUUCCUCUCCCUCGAAGACUUCCACCGCCUCCUGUUCUCCGAGGAGCUCAACCCUCCCAUUCUUUCCCAGGUGAUCAUGCUCAAUCCUCCCUCCCUCUAUGAUCAUGUCGAUACAUAUUUAUCCGCUUCAGCCUCGUCAGUUGUCCAAGUGAGAAAUGUGGAUGGGGAAAGGGAGAGGUUGACUUUUUGUAAUUGGGGCGGGUGGGCCUGUCUUUCAGACCAUAUUCUCUCUAGCAAUGUGAAAGGCCUACGUUCUUGGAAUUGUCCAUGGAUAGCUUUAAUGUGCCUCUUUAGCUGCUGAUGAGUAUUCGGUUGAUAUGCAUAACCAUUGACUCUUCAGCACCCCAUAAUUUUCUCAAGUUCAAAAGAUUACAUGCCUUUAUUUUUCUAGAACUUCGGUACCUGCGUUUUAUUCUUGUAGUUAUCACAAACAGUUUGUAUGAUGCUACCAAUCCUGACUAAGUAAGCCAAGUGAUAAUCCUGUUCUUUCCCCUUUAUUUCAGUAAUAAUAACUUUAUUUUUUAUUUGGGAAUGGAGUAUGUUUCUUCAUCUUAUUGACCAAAUCCUUUAUUUCCACCAAGGUUACGUUUCUGCAUCAUGGUUGGACCAAAGUUAGAGAGCAUUAUUCUCUAUCUUCUCACUACACAAUAUAUUUAUUAUUCUCCAUUCAAUAAUAUUGAUCAUAACAGGAGAACAUGGCCCUUUCGACCUCUAUUAAGGUUUGCAACGCCUGUUUCUCUGACACUGCCGGCUCUUCCUAACGUCUUAAAAUGAAAACCUGACUCAAGAUAAUGGCGCACGUUCUAGGUUUUCUUUUAAUGUGCUCCCAAUGUGCAACCAACUUGUGAACCCCAUGUUGAGAUUUUAAGUACAUCAGAUCAUGAAGAAGAACGAUCAAAGAUUUCAAUUGGAUUGACAUAAUCUGUUUAAAAUAUCCACGCAUGCCUACAAGCUGACAUUAGAAGAUGCAGUGCUUCCUAAUUUACUUCAUUAUUGAAAAAAAAUGCAUCUCCUUUUGUGUGCCCUAACUGAAACUUUGAAAGUGAAGUAUAGUGUAGAAAAUAUAAACAUAGAGAGGGAUAAUACCAUAGCUUUGAUGGAAUAGAGAGAAACACAGGAGGGAGAGAGAGGAAUCCUCUGUUCUAGAGGACAGAGGGGAACAGCGGCGGAAAGACUCCUCAAACCCAUUAAGUUUCUUAAAUAAGGACAAACCUUAAAAGUAUUUUCCCUAAAAUACCCUUUAACUUAAUUACCCUUAUACCUUCGGAACUGACAGUUAUGAUACUUGAAUAAUGCUUGUCUGUAUUUUUUACUUUUAUAUUUGAUGAUUUUAAUUACCGUUUGUUGACAGCGCAAAAGGUUUGUUAGUGUGAUACCCUGACUUUAUCAUAUCUCUUCGUGCAGGUUCAUCAGGAUAUGACCGCUCCAUUGUCUCAUUACUUCAUUUAUACCGGUCACAAUUCUUACUUGACAGGGAACCAGCUCAGUAGUGACUGCAGUGAUGUUCCCAUCAAGAAGGCACUUCACAGAGGUGUCAAAGUAAUCGAGCUAGAUAUUUGGCCAAAUUCUACCAAUGAUGAUGUUAAUGUUUGUCACGGAGGGUAUGUGAUAAUCAGAGUUUCUACUGACCCUGAUUGAGAUAUAAUAAGGCGAUUUAUCUAAUUGAUGUCUUCUGUUUAACUUGGAUUCUUUUUCCUAAUUUAAUCAUCAUCUGUGUGAUAUACAUUCUUUAAUAACAUAUUGAAAUUGUUUUAGGAUGCCAUUAAAUGUUAAUAAGGUAUUUAUUUGUCACUUAAUUUUUUAAACUUCAAAUUGUUUCUUGAAUUGAUUCCAACCUUCUUACUAUAUUUGAAUUGCGUUGUUUUUGAUAGAGCUAUGAACACUACGUCAACUUUGGUACAUAUAUUUCGAUUUUCUGUAUAUUUAGUCUGAAAAUCAGUUUAGGAUGGAUUGCAUAGCUAUCAGAAAUGCGGAUAUCAGGUCCUUUUUUAUUUACUUCACAAAAAUUGCUAACUCGUUCCUUUUAUUUGGGUUUUUGAGAGCCGAAAAUUUUAACAUUAUCAAAUGUGCACUGAUUGCUACAUUAUUGUAUGUUGGCUUGAUUUGCAAAGAAUCCCUCGUUUCCUAUUUUUUUAUUUUUAACAGAUUUUCCCCUUUUUCAUGACGUUUCAGCCGGCAAUAUCUUUUUUAAUGAGACUAGUAUUGAUUUAUUUACUACUGUAUCUGUGUUUGACAUUUUUUCAUUAAACAUAUGCAAAACUUCUCUCUUCUCAUUUCAUUUAGUGACUUUUUUUUUUUUUGUAUGUCAUAGGACCUUGACUUCUCCGGUUGAACUCAUCAAAUGUCUCAGGACAAUUAGAGACAAUGCUUUUGUUACUUCUCCAUACCCUGUUAUCAUAACCCUAGAGGAUCAUCUCACUCCAGACCUUCAAGCUAAAGUUGCCAAGGUGAUUUGAUUAUCCUCAUUGAACUUGUGUAUUCAAUUCUAAGUUUGGCAAAUUUUCUUAGAUGAUUUCAUUUUUUUUAUGGUGUAGAUGGUUACUCAGACGUUUGAAGAUGUCCUAUAUUACCCGAAAUCGGAAUUUCUGAAUGAAUUCCCGUCGCCAGAAGCUCUGGAGAAGCGAAUAAUUCUUUCAACAAAGCCCCCCAGAGAGUAUCUGGAGUCUAAGCUUUCAAAGGAUAAAGAUGGAGAGUCCGAGGGAGAUUCAUGGGGGAAGGAGUUUCCAGACCUGAAAUCUGAGCUUGAGUAUGAUGAUAAGGUCUAACUUGAGAUCUGGGUUCUCUGUUCUUUGUUCAGUCUUCUGUGCCUAACUUUCCCAGGUUUAUCUCUCCUACAGGAUGAUGAGCAUGACCAUGAACAUGAUGAAACACAUGUCAACGAUGAAGAUGACAGUGACGACGACGACGACGACGACGACGAUGAUGAUGAUGAUGAUGACAAUGAUAAAAAAUUGCUCCAGAAUUCAUCUCCCGAAUAUAGACAAUUAAUCACCAUCACUGCCGGGAAGCCCAAGGGUGGUCUAAAAGAGGCAUUGAGAGUGGAUCCUAACAAGGUCAGGCGUCUCAGUCUGAGCGAGCAAGAACUUGAGAGGGCCGCAAGAUCCUAUGGCAAAGAGAUAGUAAGGUACUGAAAAUGGCAUGGCUGCGAAUUGCCCUAUUUCUUCCUUAGAUGUUCUUGACUUCAGGCUCUCGCCACUUUUCUAAGCUUGGAAAGUAAAUUCGUCUAAAUUACGAGAAGAUGCGAAAUACACGCUCUAAUUAUGUCUGUGGCCUUAUGAUUUUGCUUAAAAACGUGACUAAUUAUGUCUGUGAUACUGUAAAGCAUUCACGCCUCUCCAAGCCCCCCCUNUCUCUGUAAUCAGCAGUAGAGAGAGAGAGAGAGAGAGAGAGAGAGAGAGAGAGAGAGAUGCUUGGAACCGCUUUAGUUCUUUCAGCGACGGGUCAUUGAUUUUCUAUGAAUCCUUCCUUGGUUUUCAGAUUCACCCAGAAGAAUCUUCUAAGGAUAUAUCCAAAGGGGACUCGCGUCAACUCAUCAAACUACAACCCACUGAUCGGGUGGAUGCACGGAGCUCAGAUGGUUGCAUUCAACAUGCAGGUUUUCUCCGGCCUCUGUCCAAAGCUAGAAAUUUUUUUGACUUUCUCUCUCAUCUACCCCACCCCCAAGCGCAAUUCUACACGAUAAUUGCUGUUUAUACUGCUCACCAUUCUGAUUUCCUACUGUCUCUGUACCUCAGAGUUUUAGAUGGUUCCUAGAUCUCCCUUUAAUGCACAUUCCUUUCAGGCUCAACCCUCUCUCUCUCUCUCUCUCUAACCAACAGAAGAGAGAGAGAGAGAGAGAGAGAGAGAGAGCAGUGAUUUCAGCUGACGUCUCUCUUAUCAGGGAUAUGGCAGGUCUCUCUGGCUGAUGCAGGGCUUUUACAGGGCCAACGGGGGUUGCGGUUUCGUCAAAAAGCCCGACUUCCUGAUGAACGUCGGGCCGGACGGCGAAGUGUUUGACCCUUGUGCGAGGCUGCUGCCGGUCAAGAAGAUCCUGAAGGUGACAAGUGGCCGGCAGCUUCACCGAUACAAAGACUUCCAUUCCACCUCGCCCCCUCAUCCUUAAAGCUCCGUUCUUGGAACAGGUCAAAGUGUACAUGGGCGACGGUUGGCGCCAGGACUUCAAGCCUACGCACUUUGACUCCUACUCUCCACCCGAUUUCUAUGCACGGGUGGGUGCAAAAAAAGUCAACCCAUUCCUCUGUCAACCUGGUUCUUCGCUUUUCUCCAUCUCUCUCCUCUCUUUCUCUCUCUUGGAGGGAAGAGUCUUUAGCUGGCUGACGGGCUGGAUACUGCAGGUGGGGAUAGCUGGAGUGCCGGCCGACAGCCUGAUGAAGAGGACGAGGGCGAUAGAGGACCACUGGGCGCCGGCGUGGGAGCAGGAGUUCACCUUCCCGUUGACCGUCCCGGAGCUCGCCUUGCUGCGGGUCGAGGUCCACGAGUACGACAUGUCGGCCAAGGACGACUUCGGCGGUCAGACCUGCCUGCCGGUGUCCGAGCUGAGGCCCGGGAUAAGGGCCGUCCCUCUCCACGACCGCAAGGGCACCAAGUUCAGGUCCGUGAGGCUUCUCAUGCGCUUCCAGUUCCUCUGACUGAUCGUUGACCAUGCCGCACCAGGGUCAACCCUAUCCUCUUAAUCGCAACAUGACGUUCGUAAUUCACCAAGGUCAGCUUUCCUGUAAAUAAUGCCCCCAAGGAUAAACAGAACUUCAUCAAAAGACUAACUUUAUUCUGCUAUUAGCUCGAUUCUUGCCCCUGUAAAUUAACAAGUUAUUGUCUAAAAUUAGAUCCUUUUACGACGGAGGCAUAGUUGACCAAAGCUUGAACUCUGAAUAGGGAGGGAGGGAGGGAGGUAGGGAGAGGGAGGGAGAGAGAGAGAGAGAGCCCAAAGUGUUUCUGGGCUUAAUGGGAUGGGAAGGACCAUCGCGUCUAUCUUUGGCGGCUGCAUAGUUGCGGCCUGCGGCACCGGGCUUUGCGUCCCUCCAGAGAGAGAUGCCCACGGCAGAAUUCCCUCCGUUGGUGAGGGCGGCUCCCACCGUCGACGCCAUCUUCACCGACUCCGACGCCAGCAGCAGCGGCGGAGAGGAGCCGGAGCCGGCCGAGCGGUUGGCGGCGGCUGAGGACAGCGUGUUCUCCGCCUACCUCCAGGCCUCCGGGAGCUCCUCGGGGCACGACCUCGCCAAGAUUCGCUCCUUCCUGAGCUCCUCCCGUAAGAGCUCGUUCGUCGCGUGCCUCAUCUGCCUCGAGCGGAUCCGGCCUUCUGAUCCCGCCUGGUCGUGCUCAUCUGGAUGCUACGAUCUCUUCCAUCUAAUCUGCAUCCAGUCGUGGGCGCGCCAGUGCUCGUCCCUUCCGCCCUCCUCUUCCCGGCCGUCGCUCCCCUCGUCCACAGAUUGGCACUGCCCCAAGUGUAGGUUGAACUACCCGCAGAACCAGAUCCCGCGGAUCUACUUCUGCUACUGCGGCAAGGUUGAGAACCCGCAGCCCGAUCCGUGGAUCGUCCCGCAUUCAUGCGGUGAGAUCUGCGGGCGCUCCCUCCGAGGAGACUGUGGCCAUCAUUGCCUCCUCCUCUGCCACCCGGGGCCCUGCCCUCCCUGUCCGAAGCUCGUCACCUCCCGGUGCUUCUGCGGAUUCACCAAAGACGUCCGGCGAUGUGCCCUCAAGGAAUUCUCCUGCAACAGACCCUGUGGCAAGCUAUUAGAAUGCAAGACUCACCGCUGCACAGAGAAGUGCCACGAAGGCCCCUGCCCACCAUGCCGGGUGAAGGGGACGUACCGUUGCCUUUGCGGGAGGGAGGAGGCGGAUAGAGAGUGCUGCGAGCGUCUGUUCCAGUGCGAUCAGCCUUGCGGGGGGUUUCUCAUCUGCGGGAAACAUGACUGUUCCCGGGGUUGCCAUGCCGGUCCUUGUGGGGACUGCCCAUUGCAGGGGAAGAGGACAUGCCCAUGUGGAAAAAGGCACUACGAGGGAGUUGCCUGCGACGCCAUGGUGCCUACUUGCGGGUCAACCUGCGAGAAGUUGCUUGCCUGUAACAUCCAUAGGUGCCCAGAAAGAUGCCAUCAGGGGCCGUGCGUGGAGAGUUGCAGGAAUGUUCUUGCGAAGUUUUGCCGAUGUGGGGGAUUGAAAAAGGAGGUGAGCCUCUGACACUUCUUUGCGAUUGUUCUUACUGGAUGGAUCUCUGAAUCAUGUCUCCAUUUUUUCAGUAUAAAUGCUGGAGUUGAUAUAUAGAAAUUAUUUCGCUGAUUAUAUACGUUCCAAAUGGCAUAUUAUCAGCUGAACAGAAGAUUUUUUGUUAUGGAACCAAUCCAGGUGCCCUGCUUUCAAGAUUUGAUUUGUGAAAGAAAAUGCCAAAAGAUGCGAGAUUGCGGGCGUCAUGCAUGCAAGCGCCGCUGCUGUGAUGGAAAUUGUCCACCCUGCCCAGAGGUUCAUACUACAUUCUUUUCCAAUUCUUCUUUCUUCUAUAAUAACUCGAGAUUCAGAUCUGUGGCAGGAAGCUUCGAUGUGAUAAUCAUAAAUGCCCUUCCCCAUGCCACAGGUACGUAGUCCACAUAAAUGGAUCGUUCUUCCUUAAGCAUGGGCGUAAAGUAUAUUAGUUCACUUUUCUGUUGAAUUAUUUUUUGAAGAAGUUCCGUCAUGAAACCUGCAUCAUCUUCCAUCUAUGUCACAUGGAAAGGACAUAUAUAGUUAUCUGCUGAAAUCUGUUCUUGGGUUCUUACUCUAGAAUCUAGAUAAUUGUAUUGCUAGUUACAUUUAUCCUAAAAUAUGUAACGCGAUUACAGUAAGAAAAAAAAAAGAAUCGUGUCAUGUGUCUCUGAUUCGAUCUGGCUAGGAAUCAAAUCUGUAAUGAAACUAGAAGACAUGAUUCUGUGAACACUAGUUAUUUUUUUGGCCUUGAAUUAUUUGGAACGUUGCUUUUCAUCUUCUUUAACUUCUCAGGGUGACGGAGCGGAUCAUAAUUUGUAUUUUAGGGAAGAAAUAGAGACUAAAUAUCCCAGCCUGCAAUGUCAGAUCUAUUUGGACAGUUCCUACAUUCCUCUAAUAUGUAAACCCAUCUCUCUCUCUCUCUCUCUCUCUCUCUCUCUCUCUCUCUCGAUGCUACCACAGACAGUGAUGGAAAGCAAGAAUGGAAAGGAUUUAGGAGAAAGACGGAGUUAUAUAAAUCAUCAAAGAAACGCAAAUUAACUGAAUAAUAGUGUCUUUUUAUUUGACUGAGAAUGCAUCUGUACAACAAACAGGAAUCUAGCAAAUCGCCUUGGGCAGAAGGUUUCUAUCUUUACUGGAUCAAUGAUACACCAUUGUCAAUCUCCUCUAUAUGAUUUAUCACACUUGUCAAUGCAUUUCUCUAGUCUUUUUGAGGAUAGCUACAUAAGUCUGGGCAAGCCAUUCUAGAGAUCCUACCAUUUCUUUCCUUCUACUACUUCUGGCCUAGAAACUGAAAUAGGCCACUAGAGCAGAUAGGCCUUUAGAAGCGGCUAUUAGAUCAUUGAUUGGCAUUACCUUUGUGUGACGGUCGUUAAUUCCAAUGUUGUAUCAACACUACCUGGUUAAUGUCACCCCUGUGACCAAUGAUCAUUGUCACAUUUUUCAAACAUUCCACUUCCAUUGAUUAGGUAGCACCUCUCCUUAUAAGACAUGGUGAGGUUUGAGAACACUCUAUUGUCCUUCUAUAAUGCCGUCCCAUCCGUCACAGUCCAUUUAUCAAUGUUCGUUGUCAAUUUAAUUUCCUAUGGAUGAAGAAAGCACAUUGCAUGUAUACAUCUUCAUGCACAGGCAAAUUUUAUUGCUAUCCUGCAUCAAUAUUUCCUGAUAAGCGAAAUAUUUACUUACUCCUAUUGCGACAAGAAAAUAUGGUCUAAAUGUGGUGGAAAUAAGCUCCAGCUCCCAGAAUUGCUUACAGCAGUACCAUUUAUUGUAGUCCCGUGUUAAACAACACUUUGUUUACCAGUGCUUAACCUUUAUUCUUUUAAUGUAUUCUACACAUAUUAACGGUACUCCGUUUGUGAACGAACUUAAGCUUCAUUCUGAAUGAGUCCUUAUUUGAUUUUGUAAUCAAGAAUUAUGUAUUUUUCAGGGGUAUUUGUGCUCCUUGCCCUUUGAUGGUUUCCAUUUCGUGUGCAUGUGGAGAAACACACUUUGAGGUUUGGUUUUUUGCUGUACUUUUUAUAUUUAUGGAUUUCCACGGUGUCGUUUUGAAUUGGCUGAAGAAAUCUAUUCACAUUUUCUUAAAACGAUUGCUCAGUAAAGGCAUUUCUGUGUGGAUAAUUCAGACCUCAAGCCUCUCUUGCACACCAGUAGGAGUAAUUUUUUUACUGAUGCUUAGGCUUGUUUAAAUCAUCAUUUUUUUGUGUAAGAGGACCCCACCCAUUGACUUGCAAAAUAGUUUCAUAAACACAACUUGUCCCUUGGGUCUUCCUCAUGAAACUAUUUCUUCUAGUUGAUGUUAUAUCAACUUUGGUUGCAUUACGUAACCUUUCAUUUCCUCAAUUGGACAUCUCUUAUCUGCAACUUGCAGUUCACCUCUCUGCCUUGAAAAAGAAAAUAAUAAGAAUGGUGGGAAAAUUUAAGAAUAAUAAGAAAUAUUUGCUUGGAAUUCCUAAGAGUGUUACCAUCACUAAGGCUCUCCUACAUUGAUUUUAAGACUUCAGACACUAAUGACUUCAUCAAGCAUGCCCUGGUAGCAGCCUAGAUUAUAUUUCAACUUUUAUUUUUUCUUUAGUUAUCUUGGUUUCUCAAAGUCAUCUGGUUUGACUAGUUGUUUCAGGCAUCUUCUAUAGCACUUAUAAUAGAAUUAUUGUAUAUUUAGGGAAUGAAACGAUCGUUUUGAUAUCUUGUUUCAAUGGAAUUUUCAGUCGCAUAAUGUACUCAUUUCUAGGUUUUUUUUAUACUCCCGUGCACGCCGUUUUAAAGUUUCUGCAUGAAUGUCAAGCCAGGUUCCUUGUGGAGCAGAAAAAGAACAGAAGCCCCCCAGGUGUCCCAAACCAUGUGAUGCCUCUCGUCUGUGUAGACAUAGUUCUACAUGCAAGGUGCAUUUCCCCCCUCCUCUCCAUAUAUUUUUAUUAAGAAAACUUUCAGUCAUAACCAUAUAGGUAUUGUACGUUCUCUAUUAUUUUCUCAGUCGUGCAUAUUGGUCAUCAACAGAACGUUGUCUGGCAUCAUGAUACUUAACUCUUUUAUUUUGAUUCUUUGUGCUUUCUACGCUUUUAAAAUUUAUGUGCAUCCAUUCCCUGUAAUGUUGUAUGACCUAUGAGAGCAUGCAAAUCCGCCUGAUUCAUGAUCUGACAUCUGGGUUAUUAAUGAUGAUACCUCAUCCUUCCAAUAGAAAGAGAUUGCUGCAACCCAUCUUGGUUGGGAGUCAGUCCCAAUAGCAGCUAAAGUAUGGCCUCCUGAGCAAGACCCUUGAGGAUCUGUGAUCUUCCUCUGCGAAUCUCCUCCUUUGAGUGACACUCAAUUCUCUCUCGCAGGAACAUCCGGCUUCCCGCUGGCUUAUGCGUUGGAGCCUUUUUUUCCUGGAAACAUCCUCGUAGUCUAUCUUUUAUCCUCCUUCCUUUGACUCUGGGGGGGUAGGACAGAUCGUCAGGGCGAUUCAAUUUCGCCACCUGGUCAGGCAUUGAGACAGAUCCAUUCGAGUCAAAGAUGCUUUCUAAUAAAUCCCUUGCCUUCUUGUCCCCUAUUUGACGUGGAUGUUCUAGGUCCAUUCGAGUCCUUUUUCCUAUGAAAUCAUAGAAUGAUGUUGUACUGCACCCUUAGUUUGGCCAAAUGACGACGAUAUUCUUGUCCAGGUCGGGAUGGCUCUAUUCUUAUAUUAAAAAGGACUUGCUAUUUUAUUUUCUCUACCAGAGGAUGGGGAAGCGCUCUUAAAAUCUUUCAAAGGAUUGAAGUGAUGAUUCCUUGUCAAGGCCAUUCCAUUGGACUCACCUAUGCAAGGAUGCGCUUUUAAAACCCUUGUAUUUGCAUGUGUAAACUCUUUGAGCUUUCAACCAUGCGUUCAAUCAGGAAAUGGCCAAGUGAAGUUUUUUCAGUACAUGCAAUCUCUAUGAACCUUUUGGUCGGAGAUGCAAUUUGUGUUGCUUGCUGGUGCUGAAUUAGGGCUCAGUUUUUGUUAAUCAUAACCUGCCUGUGGUUGACUCUGGCACAACAUGGUAGUCUGACUAUGACGGACUAGCUAGGUCAAAGGUCCUCAUAAAGGAUUCAUAUAGAAGACUCAAAGGUGCCAUGUUUGGAAAUGUGAGAGAUGUAUUAGUGGCAACUACAGAUAAAGAUGCCCUUUCCAUUUGCAAGGUAUUACUCCAAAUAAUCCUCCAUUCUUCCUCCACCCCCAAAAAAAAGUCCGCUUGAUUACCAUUAUGCAUCUACUUUUUUAGUGUUGCUCGUUCAAUCCACGAAUUGAAGCCCAAGAACCCCCAAUGUUCAAUACUUAUUCACUUAUAUGGCCUUUUUUUUUCCCUGUUUGAUUGAUCAGUUGUAUGUCUAUGCAUCAAAUAAUCCGCCCCCCUGUUUUGUCAACAGCCACACAGAUGCCACUAUGGAGCAUGCCCACCUUGUCGAAUGAUCUGCGAGGAGAAACUUUCAUGCGGGCAUACAUGUAAACUAAGGUUCGUUUUCAAAGUCAGCUCCUCACCUCAUGUGAGGCAUCCUUUUACUUUAAAUGUCCAUGCACUGCUGUAUCUUGAUCAGGGGGCUCUAUCUGCUUCAAGGUGCCAUGGACCAGUGCCACCUCCCAAGCAGGAUUUUUCAUUAAGACCCAGGAAGAAGAAACAGGGAAGACCAACUCAAGGUACUCCCGGGUCAGCCUGCCCUCCUUGCCAGGAAGUCGUCUUGAGAUCUUGCCUUGGAAAGCACAUUGGGGAAGACAGACCUGUAUGUAUAUCGUCUGCCCCUCCCGAACUAAGCUGCUAGGAUCAGGAAACACUUGAAGAAUUUUUAUUUUUCAAUCCAUUCCUUCUACCUGUAGGAAGUCAAAGCUGAAUAUUAUGUGUUAUUUUCAGAUGCUCUGCUCCAGUCAAGUGAGAUAUUCGUGUCAAAACUUGUGUGGAAAUGCUCUGGACUGUGGAAACCAUUAUUGCACAAAGUCUUGUCAUGCUUUGAAGCCCAGUCUCUCAUCAGCAGCCAUGAACCUGGGUGGAGCACCGCCUGGUGAGGCCCCCCCGGGGCUCACCGAGCCAUGUGAGCAGUGCCGUCUUCCUUGUCAAAAGGUCAGUUUUUUCUCAUUUGACAGCUUACUCAUCCUGUUCUCAUUGAGCUCUCAGGAAAGAACUGGCUUCUCCCAUGUUUUCUGUGGAUUAAUGUUCUUCAAUCUCUGUUUAGGAGCGAAGCCCCGCAUGCCCACAUCCAUGCCCUCGGCCAUGCCACCCCAACGACUGUCCUCCUUGCAAAGUGCUGGUCAAAAGAUCGUGCCAUUGCGGCUCCCUGGUUCAUGUUUUUGAGUGCAUCUACUACAACAGCCUGUCUGCUGACGAACAGCAACGGGUCCGCUCAUGUGGUGGCCCCUGCCACAGGUAAAAUUGACUUUUUUUUUUUAUCUUUUUUUGCACUGCGUCGUCACGAUUUUCUUUUAUUCAUUGGUGUGAAUAAAAUAAAAUUUAUACACUUCAUCGGUGUAUUUUCUCUCGACUUUUUCAUGACUACAUUAUAUAUAUAUAUAUAUAUAUAUAUCGAAAUUAGAAAUAAAUUAGUAUUUCUUUAUCCAUUGAAGUUUGCCUCUACUAAAGUCGCUGGCAAUGAUUUAUGCAGGAAGCUGCCGAACUGCCCCCAUUUGUGCUCAGAAACAUGCCAUCCUGGGACAUGCCCAUCAGUUGACAACUGUCUCAAGAAGGUAGCGUUUCCUUCUAUAAUGGUUCAUUGAUCUUGCUAUUGCAUGAGUUUCUUCCUCGAUGCUCUUUUAUGAUUCCCAUGCGGAAAAAAAAUCCCAAGUCUUGUGGAAAAUCGCCCUAGGAAAACCCCAGAUUAUUCUGUGGCCAUGAAUGGUGCUGAAUGAGGAUGGUUUCUGGUGAAGAAGUACCUGUGGAGUUGACUUUUUUUGUUUGAAGGCACCGUACUUGGGUCGUACUUGAUAAUGACGUCUUAAAUUAUGUUGCCGUCUCCUCUUUAGUGUGAAAAUCCGAAAAUAAAAUGUUUCAUCAUCUUUGACUUUUUUAUUGAAAAAAUUGCGCAGGCAACUGUUCGCUGUUCAUGCGGCAACCUGAGAGCGGAGUGGGUAUGCCGGGCUGUUCAAGAUGCUCUCCGUGGCUCUGGUCAAGACCCGAAAGAUGUUCCAAGAAGUCAAUUCGGCCUGAGGAUUCUUCAAUGCAAUUCAGAGUGUGCGAGCAAGCUCAAGUCUGUCGAGCCCGAGCUGCUGCCCCGGAGAUCUAAAAUGGCCGAGGUAAUAUGCACACACACACACAUAUAUAUAUAUAUAUACACGCACCCUAUUUUGAGGAUAUUUCCAUCUUUGGCAUGAUCAAUUGCGUUCAUUCCUCGUUGACUGCGGUAUCAUUCGUCAACCCAUUUCAAUCUGGUUCAGCGCUGGGUAACAGCCUGAUCAGAUCGACCGUGAGAUGUUUAGAAUGGUUGAAGGUCACUGAUGAGAAACGAAACCCCUGAUUUCCGCAGAGCUCGGCAGCGGGCGAGGAUCACGUGCGAAAGCGCCGAAAACGACCCGAACGGGUCAAAGUAGAGCCCCGGGCUUCAAGAUUGCACGUGGGUUUUACUGGUUUACUUGUUUUAUCUAUUUUCUGAACUGGGCGUGGGCAUCAUUUUGGGAGGACCAUGACAAAGUCAACGCCCUGUGCUUGCAGGUUAUCAAGGGAGCCCUGUGGAAGUGUCUGCUGCUGAUAAUUGUCCUUGCUCUAACCCUCGCGGCCUUGUACUACGGUUACAAGGGCCUGUUCCUCCUCUCCGACUGGAUGGACGAGAUUGACUCCCGGCAUCAGCGGAGGAAGAUGGGCCAUCCAAGGGUCUGACUUUUGAGAACUUCAAAAAUUCCUCCCCACGUACCUCUCCCAUCACUGGGUUCCUUCGUGCUUAUUGGAGCUUUUAGAGAGAGAGAGAGAGAGAGGCUGAUAUGUCACAUUCGAGUACACUCUCAAGAGCCCGUCGACUUCGCCCAGGCCUUCCAAACCCAAGGGUUCUUCCAGGACUAACCCUGGUCAACACGGCUGAGCCGGAUGGCUCCCUCGAGCUCACUGGAGGGAAGAGGAGGAGAAGAAGAAUAGCCGGCCGAUUCCAGCCGCUUGGCUUUGGCCUGGCGGGGCCGGGUGAUAACGACUCGGGGUGGACUCGGAGUUUUGAACGGCAAGGAAGACCGCCGCCGAGAAACCGACAGCUCUCCCACCAGAUAAGCCCCCCCUGCGACCGAUUCCACGCGCUCAGCCCCGUCCCUUUUUUGACCGGCGCCUCCGUCAACUCGUUUCCCCCCGUGGGAGAUGAGCCUCUUUUUCUCUUCCUCGAACCGGGCCCGGUCAACCGCGUCCGCCGAGCGGAACCAGCCACGUCAGAUAACUCGGUCCCGAUGAUUGUGGCACUAGUCUACGCACAUAGGCUUCGUUGACUUCACCCCCACCAUCAUCCCGGUCUUCGCGAUGACUCGGAUGCAUCCGACUUUUUCACCCCAACAAAACGGAACGUGACACUAUUUACCCCUCCUCUCUCUCUCUCUCUCUCUCUCUCUNNNNNNNNNNNNNNNNNNNNNNNNNNNNNNNNNNNNNNNNNNNNNNNNNNNNNNNCGUACGACACUUACCUUACCCUCCUCUCUCUCUCUCUCUCUCUCUCUCUAUGACGGUCGCUGUACGACACGGGUCAUAUGGUUCGAUGGUCGAUGAGUUUUUAGUGAGUAACGGACAGAAGGAGAUGGGAAUCCAUGCCCGCCAGGGACGGUGGAUAUCCAACCACGGGAACGGAGUCCGGUCAACCGGCGGUCAGACGGGAUGGUGGGGCCUAUGAAUUCCUCUCUCCGCGGCCGCUUGGAGACACGCCCCCACGCGUUCGAUGUUUCCAUAGUUACUGAACGCCUCGUCUCUGCUGACCGUGGCUUUCCAUAUAUGUAUCACCGCCCCCGCCUCUCCUCGCUUUCAAUUCCUCCCUCCGCCAUCGUCUUCCCCGCCGCCGCCGCCGCCGCCGCCGCCGCCGCCGCCCAUGUGGGUAACAGUCGCCGUCCUUAUGGUUGGCCUUCCGAUCGCUUCCUUCCCCUUCUCCGCUGCGACCAUCAGAUGACGACCCCCGUCGUCGCCGCAGCCACCGGCCUCCUCUUUCUCCUCCUCCUCUGCCGCCUGCCGGCGGCGCAGGCGCACGGCUCCGCGGCGCCUAUCGCCAUCGUCCACGGCAGCGGCACCGUCUGCGGCAUCCUCGCAGGGCCGUCGGUGAGGGGCAUCCUCUGCGCCAACCAAUCUCGCACUUUCCAGCUGCUCCCCAACGUCUCCUUCGCCUCCGUCUCCGGCGGCCGCGAUUUCCUCUGCGGGCUGCGGUCAGAAGGGCGGACCUUCAUCUGCUGGGCAGUCGCCGGGGGGGACCUCCGCCCGAGACGGCUCUACCGCGGGCCUCCCCCUCUGGAGGGCCUCUCUGUGGGGGAGGACCACAUCGCCGCCUCUGUUGUUGGCGGCGGGGUCCGGUGGUGGAGAGGGGGGGGCCGGUUUCCGCCCUCCGUCGACGGCAAGUUCCGGUCCCUCUCUUCCGGUAAUGGGUUCUCCUGCGCGAUCCGCGCGGACGACAGCAAAGUCAGCUGCUGGGAUAGCAGGGGCGGGAUCGCAGGAGAAGUGCAGAGGGGGUUCGCAAAUGUCAACAUGUCCACCCUCGUCGCCGGCGACUUCCACGCCUGCGGCAUCACCUCAGAAGGUUCCAUUCUCUGCAAGGGGAGGAACGAGACAGGGCAGCUGAACGUCCCUUCCUAUUUUUCGCCCUUCGAGUUUUCAAGUCUCGCUGUGGGAAGAGGCCACAGCUGUGCGAUCAGGCAGCCCCAUGGCACGGUGGUGUGUUGGGACGGCGGCGGUGAUUACCAGCCUGUGAACGAGUCAAUGGAGUGGAUCGUCGCCGGCGGCGACCUAACGUGCGGUGUCACCACCAAGAACUUCUCGGUGAUCUGCUGGGUCGCCACCAACAGAACCAGCCCAUCAUCGGUUUCGCUCAUGCCGCUGCGGAGCGUCCUUCCGGGAAUCUGCACGGAACAGAGUUCUUGCGGCUCCUGCGAAGUAAUUCCGAACUCCCUAAAUCUUUGCGGUGGUUCUAGGGUCAUCUGCCAGUCAUGCCGCAGCGAGUCGCCAUUGCCGCCCGCGUCGCCGCCGCUGCCGCCGGCGGCGGCGGCUCCAAGACGAAGAAGCAGAGAGCUUCUGGCCUUCGCCAUCGUGGGGUCGGUGGGAGCCUUCGCCGGAGCCUGCUCCAUCGCCUACUGCAUAUGGGCCGGAGUUUGCCGCCAGAAGAGAGUUCACAAUUCGGUCCAACCCACCAUCACCGUCGCCGGGAAUUCCCCCAGCGACAAUUCCGCCACGGCGGCGCCGCCGGGGGCCCCGUCGAUCGCCCUCGGGUCGAUCUCCAAGUCGAGGUCGCGGUCACGGCCGAUGUUCUUCCGGCGCCCGGUUCAGGGAGCAAUGAACAGGCAAAGGAGCGGCCCCUCCUCGGCCAGAGACAGAGCCGAGGUGUUCUCCAUCGACGAGCUUGCGGCCGCCACGAAGAACUUCUCCCUGGAGACGAAGAUCGGCGCCGGCAGCUUCGGAACGGUCUACAAGGGCAAGCUCGCCGAUGGCCGCGAGGUGGCGAUCAAGAGAAGCGAGUCUGCGCCAAAGGCCAGGAAGUUUCAGGAGAAGGAGAGCGCCUUCCAGUCCGAGCUGCUCUUCCUCUCCAGGCUCCACCACAAGCACCUGGUGGGCCUCGUCGGGUUCUGCGAGGACGACGACGAGCGCCUCCUGGUCUACGAGUACAUGGAGAACGGCGCCCUCUACGACCACCUCCACUCCCGCAAAGGCCGCACCAGCCCCCCUUCCUCCUCCUCCUCCUCGAGC
rnacentral:lncRNA from 1 species